UACGUAGGGUGCGAGCGUUAAUCGGAAUUACUGGGCGUAAAGCGUGCGCAGGCGGCUUUGCAAGACAGAUGUGAAAUCCCCGGGCUCAACCGGGGAACUGCAUUUGUGACUGCAAGGCUAGAGUACGGCAGAGGGGGAUGGAAUUCCGGGUGUAGCGGUGAAAUGCGUAGAUAUGCGGAGGAACACCAAUGGCGAAGGCAAUCGACUGGGCCUGUACUGACGCUGAUGCACGAAAGCGUGGGGAGCAAACAGG
rnacentral:rRNA from 1 species